GCUCUGAGGAGGGCCGGGAGAGUGGGAGGGGACAAGUCGGAGCUACAGGAGAGGGUUGUGUUGAACACAGCGAGGGAUUGGAUAGGGAGGCGGAGCAGGAGAUUGACCAAUAGGAGCUGUCAAGGACGGAUGUCUCCCACUGGUCAAUGUUUUUGCAGCCCUGCACCUGCUAGGGUGAACGGAUUUUUUCCAAUUUUUUUUCUCUUCACUUUGUGGAGAUCGCACUACAGGACCAUGAUCGCCAUAGAAACAAAGUUCAUAAUAAUUACCAAUUCCUCCAAUCGUCAACCAUUCAAAGGGACAUUAGAGUGUUUCAGAAGUGAAGUCACAUUAAGUGAACAGGUCUGUCAGCUCGGCCUCUCUCAUGAGAAACUGUCAGGGGACUUUGCAUACAGUUUUCUGCAGGAGUGAAUUCACUCAGGAGAAAGAUGACUCAUGAGAGUUUAACCUGUUGCCUUUCUCUCUGCCAGCAGCUUUCCCGUCAUGGUUAGCAUUGUAAAAUCAAUCUAUAACAGACAAUCAGAGUGCUGGAGUUCAGCAUGAGACCAUUGGUUUCACCGCCCACCAGGUUUCUGCAGCUCAGAGCUUCCAACAAGAUGGAAGUUACAUUCACCGCAGCCAACCUCUGCAUAACUGAAGGAUUAAAAGCAAUAACUCCACCUAAAGUGAUGCAGGGUGGAGGAGACGCAGUUAGAUAUGAGCUAAAUCAAGUCUGGAAUGUAUAGGUUGAGAAUAGGAGGGAAACAGAAAAGUGUGAAGUCGAUGGGAACUACAGAAGGCAGGGACAAGAAGAGCAUCUGCUACUUUAUCGCUCUUCACAGGAAGGCAUCACAUUACCGCCAAAUUUAAUCUAAUCUCCACAAAACUGCGACAUAUCCAUUCGGAUCCUGCUUCCCAGAAGAGCUGAGGGGCACAACAGGCUUUUUUAUCUCCGCAAAGAAGAACGUUGUUCCAUUAAUCUCCUCCUCUGGCAGCCCUCAGCAUCAGAUCAGAGCCUGUGAUCACGCCGCCUGCUGAGCGAACAGAGCGCUUCCUCGUAGCAGGAGGAGGAGGAUCUUUGCAGAGAUGAAAGCUGAGACGGUCUGAUGUUGCAGAAUUACGUGUUUUGAUGGACCCAGACAAACAUCAGGAAGUUGUCAGCUUCCACACUCACAUACCUCCCCAGUAACUCCAGUAACUGUGAAGCUCUACGCUCUGUGCAGCUAAAAGUGGAGAUGCCGACACCUCAUCUCGACAAUUAGAUGCCAAAAAAGAAUAACAUGUGUGGCGCUGCAGAACUUCAUGAGCCAGGACUGUUUUUCGCUUACUCUCAAGGAUUCCCAAAGUAACAAGGGAAUAAGACUAAAUAUUUUAAAUGCUAGUAGCACCAUCUGUCAAUCACUUGUCCUCCCAUCAGCUCCAUCUCAAAGUCUGGUUCACAAUGUCCUAAAGAUCUCGAAUAGUUUUGGAGCAACUCUGAUAAAGGGAAAGGCAAAGGGACACUUCAGAUUCAGAUUCAGAUUCCUUUAGUAACCAUUGUGUAAUACACAUCGGAAUUUUCUUCGACCAUUACAUGAGUGUGUUUCGGACCUUUUUCCCAACAUAAAUACCAACAACACAAACAACACCGUGCAAGAAGAUAGGUAAAUAUAAAGUGCAUUAAUGUCAGUGUCCCUAGGGGCCGGGAAGAGGUGGGAAGCCAGACUCAGUGAACAGCCUGGCAGCAGGGAAAAAACUGAGUGCUAUGGCGUGCUGUGGUGGCCCUCAGCAGACGCAUCCUUCUCCCAGAGGGGAGCAGGGAGUGGAGACUGUGGCCAGGGUGGGAGGGGUCAGCCAUGAUUUUUCUUGGCCUCCUCAUCGCCCUGGAAUCAUGCAGAGACUUGAGGGUGGGCAGGGGACGGCCAAUCACCCUCUCAGCAGAAUGAAUCACCCGCUGAAGCUUGAUGAGGUCUUUUGCAGCUGCAGCGGGGAACCAGGUGAUGAUGGAGUGCGUGAAGAUGGACUCAGUGAUGGCCGUGUAGAGCUGAGUCAUCAUGGUCCUUGACAGUCUUUACUUCCUCAGCUGCUGGAGGAAGAACAACCCCUGCUGAGUCUUUCUCAGAAGAGCCAUGAUGUUCAUUUCCCACUUCAGCUCCUGGGAGAUGAUAAUGCCCAGGAACUUAAAGGACUCCACCGAGUUCACCAGGGUGCCUCCUAGCAUGAUGGGAGGGGGAGGGGCUGUGUUCUUCUGAAAAUCCACCAUCUCCACUGUCUUUUGGGCAUUAAGCUCCAGGUUGUUGCUGCUGCACCAACUGUGCAGCUGCUCAAACUCCUUCCUGUAAGUCGACUCGUCCCCCUUGGAGAUGAAGCCCAUCAAGGUGGUGUCGUUGGCAAACUUGAGGAGCUUCGUACCUGCUUUCAUAUUCACAAGUUUACAUAUUAAAUCGGCGAUGCAGGGACAUCAAACUGUGUAACUUCAUGGCUGUGAGCUUGGCUUUUUGUGCAUCUCAGUAAGGUUUUUUCUUUAUUGAAAUCACAAUCCUUUUUUAAAAUGUUUGCACAGUGAGAUUAAACUCUUUUUUGAGCUGGACUGUCUUUUUGGCUCAUUCAUGCAGGUUUUGUGGGCGCAAUCGCUGCAGAAUCUCUUCGUGAACCAGACCCCAGAGUUGCAGAUGUAAGAAAUGUUCAGAUCGAAGGAUGGAUAUGAACUCUGGGGACAUUUACUGUCACACAUCUCCACUCCUGUUCUUCUCUGGAGCUGAUAUGUGAGAAAUUGUUCUUCUCUGUAAAUUACGGUGUCAGUAAGUCUCACACAAAGUGCCUGUCAGAGCACGGUGUGUCAUUUGAAACAACCUUUCUACCGCAACUUCGGUGUCGUCAGAAACGGCGACGAGAGAUCUUUUUGUAGCUUUUCCAAACAGAAAAUCAAAGCUGUAGCUCUUAGUGUGGUGGGAUGAGUGAGAGACUGUAGGUUAUCCCCGUUUCUAAUGAUGCUCUCGACAAGAAGACGCUUUUUGUCUGCUCUGUCUGAAAAUCACUGCUGUCUUCAGACAGGUUCUCCACUAAUGGUCGGACUGAAAUGCCGUUUAGCGUCACUCACUUCAGCCCGACUGUGGAUGUGUCGAUAGUUCUUUAGGAGCGGCGUGGGUACUUUGUUUGUCUUAAGAAAGAGACUUUCUAUUCCACCAAACUGAAAACGUCUGUAAGCGGUCAGACGUGCUGCUGGAGGAUUUCAAUGGAAGGUCAUGUGCUGCUUAAACGCCAUAUAAAGAGGACUCUCAGUGUUGAUGAUGUGGUGAAUCCAAAUGAUCAAAACCAGCGUGGUGAUACUGAGGGAUGAUAAUCGGACCAUCCAGAACUGCAACAGAAGACAUCACGAUAUCAGGAUGUUUUACCAGAUUUACACUGAGCCAAACCUCUCUACCGGAGAUUUCACCAACUUGUUGACAAGUCCUUAGCAACAGACAACUAGUCACUGACCAGGGAUGGGGAUCGGUCAUUCUUAUUGAUACUGAUACCAUUUCUCACGACUCCUUAAGGAUUAAAAUCCUAAUUGAUUCUGUUCUCCAGUCCUUUUGAAGAAAUGUUGCCUCACGCGUUUGCAUUUAUACAGAUUUAAUUAUCGUUUUAUUGAUUUUAUCAUCAAAGUACAAAGUUGCUCUAAGAGACCCUUGAAACCCGAUAGCAGACCUGAUAAGUUUGCGGGUUUGAAUCGGGUAUUAAAUUGACCCUAUUCCUAUCGCUGACCCCAAAUUUCCACCACA